rnacentral:rRNA from 15 species
CGUCAGCUCGUGUCGUGAGAUGUUGGGUUAAGUCCCGUAACGAGCGCAACCCCUAUCCCUAGUUGCUAGCAGUUCGGCUGAGAACUCUAGGGAGACUGCCGGUGACAAACCGGAGGAAGGUGGGGACGACGUCAAGUCAUCAUGGCCCUUACGUCCAGGGCUGCACACGUGCUACAAUGGUCGGUACAAUGGGUCGCCACCCAGCGAUGGGGCGCAAAUCCAUAAAACCGAUCUCAGUUCGGAUUGGAGUCUGCAACUCGACUCCAUGAAGUUGGAAUCGCUAGUAAUCGCGUAUCAGCAACGACGCGGUGAAUACGUUCCCGGGCCUUGUACACACCGCCCGUCAAGCGAUGGAAGUCAGAAGUACCUAAUGUCGGUGCGCCAACCUUCGGGGGGCAGCUGCCUAGGGUAAGUCUGGUAACUGGCGCUAAGUCG